ACCCGCGAGGAUGCGAUCUCUGGGCAUGCCGUGGCUGAAGGAACUGCGCGCGGCCGGCACGUCUGCGCCAGGUGAAUUGC
rnacentral:sRNA from 1 species